AUCUUUGCGCUUGGGGCAAUGAUGCAUCUAAUGAGGUUCUAACCGAGGCGCGUCUAUUGCUGGUUGAAAACUAUCUCCAAACCCCCUGGAGAAUUUCUGGAAGGGACCCUUUGGGGU